UUGAUUUAGGAUUUGGAUUAGGAUUUGGAUUAGGGUUUAGAGUUUGGUUAAGAUUUGAUUUAGGGUUUGGAUUAAGGUUUGGUUAAGGUUUGAUUUAGGAUUUGGAUUAGGAUUUGGAUUAGGGUUUGGAUUAGGGUUUAGGAUUUGAUUAGGGUUAAGGAUUGGAUUAGGGUUUGGGUUAGGGUUUAGGAUUUUGUUAGGAUUUGAUUUAGGAUUUGGAUUACGGUUUGAUUUAAGGUUUGGUUUAGGAUUUAGGGUUUGGAUUAGGAUUUAGGAUUAGAUUAGAGUUUGGAUUAGAAUUUAGGGUUUGGUUUAGGAUUUGAUUUAGGAUUUAGAAUUUGAAAUAGAAUUUAAUUUAAGAUUUAUUUAGGAUAGGACUUAGGAUUUAGGAUUUGAUUUAGGAUUUAGAAUUUGAAAUAGGGUUUAAUUUAAGGUUUAUUUAGGAUUUGACUUAGGAUUUAGGAUUUAUUAGGCUUUAAGAUUUAAUUAGGUUUGGUCUAAAAUUUGAGUGAAAUUCAAUAGGGUUUUAACUAGAAUUAAAUUAAGGUUGAAUUGACAUAUAUUUGAGUAAUAUUUGUGUUCAUUUUAAUAUUUCUUUAAGAAUUUUAUUGUUUGUUUGAAAUUUCUUUGAGUUGUUUUGAAUUUGAUUACGUUUGUUUAUCAUUAUUAUAGUCUAAUUAGAGCAUUGUUAGUAUUCUAUUAGAAUUAGGAUUUUGUUA
rnacentral:lncRNA from 1 species